GUGGGGAAUAUUGGACAAUGGGCGAAAGCCUGAUCCAGCCAUGACGCGUGUGUGAAGAAGGUCUUCGGAUUGUAAAGCACUUUAAGUUGGGAGGAAGGGCAGUAAGUUAAUACCUUGCUGUUUUGACGUUACCGACAGAAUAAGCACCGGCUAACUUCGUGCCAGCAGCCGCGGUAAUACGAAGGGUGCAAGCGUUAAUCGGAAUUACUGGGCGUAAAGCGCGCGUAGGUGGUUUUGUAAGUUGGAGGUGAAAUCCACGGGCUCAACCUGGGAACUGACUCCAAAACUGCAUGACUAGAGUACGGUAGAGGGUAGUGGAAUUUCCUGUGUAGCGGUGAAAUGCGUAGAUAUAGGAAGGAACACCAGUGGCGAAGGCGACUACCUGGACUGAUACUGACACUGAGGUGCGAAAGCGUGGGGAGCAAACAGGAUUAGAAACCCGGGUAGUCC
rnacentral:rRNA from 1 species